rnacentral:rRNA from 1 species
UUAAUUGAAGAGUUUGAUCAUGGCUCAGAUUGAACGCUGGCGGCAGGCCUAACACAUGCAAGUCGAGCGGCAGCACAGAGGAACUUGUUCCUUGGGUGGCGAGCGGCGGACGGGUGAGUAAUGCCUGGGAAAUUGCCCGGUAGAGGGGGAUAACCAUUGGAAACGAUGGCUAAUACCGCAUAACCUCGCAAGAGCAAAGCAGGGGACCUUCGGGCCUUGCGCUACCGGAUAUGCCCAGGUGGGAUUAGCUAG